UUUCCGUAGGUGAACCUGCGGAAGGAUCAUUAUUAGAUUUUUACCCUUAAUCUCUUCGGGGAUUAAGGAUAAACCUUCUAACCCUUUGUUUAAUUAAACCCUUUUUUUGCUUUGGUUUUUCGAAACCAACAAGCCUAAAAAAAUAAAUUCUUAAUAUCAAAUCUGAAUCUUUUAAUUAUCAAAUUAAAAACAAAACUUUCAACAACGGAUCUCUUGGUUCUGGCAUCGAUGAAGAACGCAGC
rnacentral:misc_RNA from 1 species